rnacentral:rRNA from 1 species
GCUUAUUACCAUUCCAGAUUGAAUAUACCCGAUCUCGUUUGAUCUCGGAAAACAAGCAAUCUCGGGCUUGGUUAGGU